GCCAGGCGUGGUGGCGCAUGCUUGUAGUCCCGGCUACUCAGGAGGCUGAGGCAGGAGGAUCACUUGAGCCCAGGUUGUUGAGACUGCAGUGAGCUAUGAUCGUGCCACUGUACUCCAGCCUGGGCAACAGAGCAAGACCCUGUCUCAA
rfam:Pan troglodytes isolate Yerkes chimp pedigree #C0471 (Clint) chromosome 19, whole genome shotgun sequence.